rnacentral:rRNA from 1 species
UACAGAGGGUGCGAACGUUGCUCGGAAUUACUGGGCGUAAAGCGUGCGCAGGCGGUUUGUUAAGACAGAUGUGAAAUCCCCGGGCUUAACCUGGGAACUGCGUUUGUAACUGGCAAGCUAGAGUGUGGCAGAGGGGGGUGGAAUUCCACGUGUAGCAGUGAAAUGCGUAGAGAUGUGGAGGAACACCGAUGGCGAAGGCAGCCCCCUGGGCUAACACUGACGCUCAUGCACGAAAGCGUGGGGAGCAAACAGG